UGGGAUUGGAAAUACUGCUGUAGUGCUGAUUAUAUAAUGCGACGAGCUUGAGUCAACUCUCAGCGGCGCGUAUUUCAUCGUUUCGAGAUUUCAAGCCAGGGUCUCAGUUGUUGAAGUACCGUUUGCGACCAGCUGGGGGAGACAAAAGACAAGCUGUCCCCACCAUCACUCCCACUGACCUUGUGGUUUUGGCUGCAGUCAGGCUGACAUCAUUACCUGGCCUUGCAUCAUCCUCCUCACCAGUGAAGGGGAAAAGGUUAAAUACCCAUGCUACGCUAUUAGCUAAUCCGUUCCAGUUGGACCAGAGGAUCUGCGAGGACAUCUGCAUUAUGACGAGAUAAAGAUGGGGACCUAUAAACAAGCCUCCCUGCUCGCACAAUAAUGGAGGAGGAGACACUUUCCCACAUUGCAGAUGAUACUAAAACUAACAAUCUUGUAUU